GGGGAUGUAAGUCUCGACGGGAAGGGUUCUUUAAAAACGGCAAGCCGGCCUGAAAUAAGCCGUUAAAAGGUUUCAAAAAAUAUAACUGGCAACAAAAAAGUUGCUAAUUAUGCUUAUGCUUACGCUUAAAAGCGCUUGGGCAUAAGCCAUUCGUAGUUUUUUCUCCUGGUGAGAAACUAUGGGUGCCAACCUAGCCAGGAUACAGUUCAGUCGGUUUGGCUAGUCUGGCUGAACCAAGUCUUAACUAGUCUUGGUCUUAACUUUCCGGUUGACAGGAUCAGGUUAAGACGACAAUUAAGAGUCAACUAAGCUUGUAGAAGUUUUUAGAAAUUCUUUUCGGACGCCGGUUCACCCCGGCCAUCUCCACUA
rnacentral:tmRNA from 1 species